GGGGUAAGAACAAAGUUCCAAACAAGAGCUAAUUUUUAUGUAAUCAAUGGCUGGUCUCUCUUCCUUCGUCCGCUUUCUCAUUAUGGUUAUGUUCAUUGCAUCCAUCUUGCUCAUGCAUCCAUCUCAGAUUCAUGCAGAUUUGAAGGUGAGCAAAUUUGGCCGGAAAACCAGACCAAGCCCACCCCCUCCUCCAGCAGGAAACUUUCGGAAGCAACAAAGCCCACCACCUCCUCCAAUGGUAUUGACCCUGUGGCUAAUUUAUUGUCUGGGGAAACUCACACACGGGUAUCAUGGGACUUGAACUCAAGAACACUUGGAGCAUACCAGAGACCUGCGCCAAUCCAACGAACACCCCAUUGAUUGUCCUUUCCUCUUCAUCAUCUGUUAGAAAAAUAGUCUGUUCUGCAAAAGGAAUACAUCAGACUACUUGUAUAGUCAGUAGAUGAUUAACAGCCCAAUAACUUCUCCAAAAUUUGCAAGUAACUAACAUGUCAAAACCAACAGCUAUAAUCUGAAUGAGAGAUACACAUUAGUUAUCACCAACAGCCAAAAUACGGUAGAAAUGUACAAAGGGAUAUCAACAACUAUAAAAUUGAAACUAAAGAUCUGCCACUUAUUUGACGAAAAAAAA